AAUUUAUUUAAAGAAUCUAUUAAUUAUGGAGGCAACAAUUACUUAACCAUAAAUGAUUACAAUUUUCACAUAAGAAAUAAAAAUUACUGAAAGCAAUUCAUGUGGUAAAAGCAGUAUUAUGUUUAAUAAAUUUACAGUUCCUGCUCAAAAAGAAAAGAAAUUAACUCGGGACGCCAAAAGAAGCGUCAAGAUGCCACAUGUAUGGUGCACCACACCGGCCAAAUCCUCUCUGAAUACAGGGCGGAUCUCAAAGCAAGGAGUGGUAGUCAAAGCGGUUGACACCACUGUAUGAAAAGGUAGGGAUCUAUCCAUCAUUACUGGCUCCCUAAGUCGACAUCGAGGUGAAGACGCAGACGGAACGGCACCGUCACUGGGGAACAUAUAAGCCCACAGUUGGUGAGAACUUACGUCUUUACCAUUUUGGGGAGAUGUCCAGAAGAAAGGGGAAGUCUGGCUAUUACAAGGAAGCCAAUGUCGUUCUGAAGAGAAGCCCACUUUAAAUAACCACAAUAAGAAUGCAGGACAACUUUCAAGAUAACACCAACGGCUUUAAAAUGGGAACCGACUUGUACAAAGUGCAAGAUGGAGUAUACACGUUCUCCCAAAGGACGAAAAUUUUGACAUGUGGUACUUUUAAUUACGAGAUGCUGCAAGCAUUCCAAUAUCCUCCAGUUACGACCAUAGCUGAAUUGAAGUCAGUUCAAGGAAGAGUAGUUGAGGUCUCAGAACACAGUAGUGUUGAAUUAAAGACAGUAACUCGGACACAGAAACCAUCCAACUGAAGCUCUGGGGAGAACAUGGAAAAACGGAGUUGCCGUUAACUGAAGUUGUGAAUGUGCAAUGUGUGACACUGAAGGAAUUUCAGCAAAAGCUGGAUUUAAAUUUCACACCAAAAACAAAUGGUUGUGGAACAACUUACCCAGAGAAUUACGGGAUUUAAGACUGAGCGUCAUAUUGCGUGUUCACGACAAUCCAAUGGUCAUGGCGAAUGAUCAGCUCUUUCAGUGUGACCGUGAAACAAUUGAAUCUGUUUCCGGACAAGGAAGUGCCGAGCGGCCUUUAUCACCUUUGUAAGAGGUGAUGUUCUGAUUUCACCAGUACCAGAAGAUGAGCGAGCGAGGUUUUUAACGCCGUUUUUAGCAACAGUCGAGCAAUAUCACGGCGGGGACACCAGAAAUUAGAAGCGUAAAUAUGUACAAAUUAAAUAAAUCAUGACAAUUA